GAACAACUCUCCACAGGCCACAGUGGUGUUACGUGAAUCACUCGGUCAUUAAGCAAAUCCGACUUUUCCCAUCGAUUUUGGUUGUCAAAAGUCUGCUAGGAAGAUCGCAAAUGGUGUCCCGUGACCUCAAGAUGCUGCAAAGGGAGUAAUGAUCAUCAGCAACUGAAAUGAAUUGCAAUGGAAACUGGACAAACACAUAGAAGAAAAAGUGUAUCAAGAUUUCUAGUUGUAACGAUCUGGGCUCAGAAACAAUUGGAAGCUGGAAACGUGGAGAUGAUGGACAAAGCAGAACAAAGUU